rnacentral:rRNA from 1 species
UACAGAGGGUGCAAGCGUUGUUCGGAAUUAUUGGGCGUAAAGGGCGCGUAGGCGGCUACGCACGUCCGUUGUGAAAUCGCUCGGCUCAACUGGGCGGGGUCAGCGGAUACGGUGUAGCUGGAGCAAGCUAGGGGGCAAUGGAAUUCCCGGUGUAGUGGUGGAAUGCGUAGAUAUCGGGAAGAACACCCGUGGCGAAGGCGGCUCUCUGGGACGGUACUGACGCUGAGACGCGAAAGCGUGGGGAGCGAACAGG